rnacentral:lncRNA from 1 species
CAACAGCAAUGUCUUAGGAAGUAAUGCAAUAAUUUUUUUAAAUGCAUAUCUGUGAAAUUUACAUAAGUAUAUAUAUGUGUGUAUAUGUGUAUGUACGUAUGUAUAAGUUCGCAUGGUUUCAAUUCUUUUAGAGUUUCUGUUUAUUUUGUUUUUGCUUAAAAAAAAAAAAAAAAAAAAAAAAAAAAAAAAAACUAUUUUUUACUUUUACAGGAAAAAAUGAAUACGAUGAAGUUUCACUUUUUCAGUACGGCGUAAAAAAUAGUUCCGAUGAAAAGGAACAAGCAAAUGGAGACUCUACUACUAAUGCGGUUAUGCAGGAUGAUAAGAAGGGAAAUGAAAACACUUCACAUGAUACUGUACAUGUUGAAGAAAAUACAAAUGUAGGAGCACAAGCAUUAGAACAAGAAAACGAAAAUAAUGAAAAAGAAACUAACUUAAACGAUAAAAAUGACAAAGGCGAUGAUGCAAUCAACAAACAUAUGUAUGACAAUUUAAUGAAAUUCGAUAGUGAUAUGGGAAAUAAUAAAACUGAUAUUAAUAAUGGAGAGUUUAAUAUUCAAAGUGAACAAAACAAAGUAAUGUUAAAUGAUACUAGUAGUUAUAAUGCUCCUGGUUUUAAUACUGCUUCUGUUACUGAUAGUGGUCCCGUUACAGAUGUUGCUUCUGUUACUGAUAGUGGUCCCGUUACAGAUGCUGCUUCUGUUACUGAUAGUGGUACCGUUACUAAUGCUGCUUCUGUUACUGAUAGUGGUCCCGUUACUAAUGCNNNNNNNNNNGUUACUAAUGCUGCUUCUGUUACUGAUAGUGGUCCCGUUACUAAUGCAGUUCCCGUUACUGAUACUUUUCCCGUUACUAAUGCAGUUCCCGUUACUGAUACUUUUCCCGUUACUAAUGCUGUUCCUGUUAAUGACAAUGAUUAUGGCUAUAAUACGGAUGAACAAACAAAUGUCAAUAAUACUAAUACGCAAAGCGAAGUUGAAAAGAAAAUAAAAAAAGAUGAAGAAACGGGUGAAAAUGUUUAUGAAAAAUACGACGGUGAAAAGUACCAACAUGGGGAAAAUGAAUUUGAUAAUAACAAGGAGAAACAAUAUGACAUACAAAAUGAUGAACAAAGCAAUAAUGACAUAAAACAAAACAAAAAUGAUGAUGAUGAUGAUAUAAAAAAAAACCACGAAGACAAUACAGAACGGAAUGAAAGGGACGAAAAGGAAGAACAAAAUAAACACAUACAAGAGUUGGACAAUGUAAGUAAAGCAGGAGACCAAAUUAAAAAAGAUAUAACAACAUAUAACACAGACGAAGAUGAGCCUUCAAUAAAUAUCAAUACUUCUUCAAGUGUCAAAAUACACUUACCGUUAAGGGAGUCUAUUAUUAAUGAAAUUAUUAUAAGCGCCCAAAAAGGAGUAGAAGGAUUAACAAAAUUAAAAGACAGUAAAAAUUUAGGUAAGAUUUUUACUAAGGCAUUAAUAAAAUUAAAAUUAGAUCCAAAGAUAUUUUAUAAAAAUAAUGAUGUGUAUAACCAUCUAGCAUUAGACACGUAUGAUAGAAUAUUAAUUACUAUAUUUAAAAUAUUAACUGAAUUAAGUUAUCAUGAAAACGAAC